UACGAAGGGGGCUAGCGUUGCUCGGAAUCACUGGGCGUAAAGCGCACGUAGGCGGCUUUGUAAGUUAGAGGUGAAAGCCCGGGGCUCAACUCCGGAACUGCCUUUAAGACUGCAUCGCUAGAAUUGUGGAGAGGUGAGUGGAAUUCCGAGUGUAGAGGUGAAAUUCGUAGAUAUUCGGAAGAACACCAGUGGCGAAGGCGACUCACUGGACACAUAUUGACGCUGAGGUGCGAAAGCGUGGGGAGCAAACAGG
rnacentral:rRNA from 1 species